GACCUGGAGAGGCCAGUCCAGCUGGGCAGCCUCAGUGCAGAGCUCGCAGAAGGACCUCCCACCAUGACCUGGGUGCCCUUCUACCUCCUGCCCCUCCUGUUCAACACAGGUCUCUGUGCUGUGCCUGUGCUGACCCAGACCCCGUCUGCAUCUUCUUCCCUGGGAGGCUCGGCCAAGCUCACCUGCACCCUGAGCAGUGAGCACAGCACGUACUACAUUGAGUGGUAUCAACAGAGAGUAGGGCAGGCCCCUAGGUAUCUGAUGAAGCUGACCAGUGACGGAAGCGUCACCAAGGGGGAUGGGAUCCCCGACCGCUUCUCAGGCUCCAGCUCUGGGGCUGACCGCUACCUGACCAUCGCCAACAUCCAGUCUGAGGACGAGACUGAGUAUAUCUGUGGUGUCAGCUAUAACACUGACGGCCAAGUUGGAUGCCACAGUGACACAGACCUAGGGGAAGUGAGGCCAAAACCUCCCUCCCUUGCCCUCCGUCCCACGCACCAGGGUUCUGUGGCCUCUUCUGCGCUGACUCAGCCACCUGCGGUGUCUGUGUCCUUGGGACAGACGGCCAGGAUCACCUGCCAGGGAGACAGCUUAGGAAGCUAUUAUGCUCAAUG